GCCACCUUCUUGUUUUAAUAAGGAAGAAGAACAAGGAGGAGAAGAAGUAGUAGUAGUAGAAGAAGAAGAAGCCCUACGGGACCAACCUAAAUUGGUAGAAUUAAGGAAGUUUUUAGUUCCCCUGCUAAUUCUGAGAUAUAUAGAAAGCUUGCAUUUUUCAAGCACCUUUGGCGAUUUGCUUCCAGCGGCUCAACAUCUCCCCGACAGCAGAGACACCUUCGCAGCUCAUUUCCCAGAGGGUGACGAAGACAUGGGUGAAGGUGAUUACGAAAUUUGAAUACGUCUGCAGGAGUUAAAGAGUGUGGACAUCAAACCUGCAGUCAUUCUGGCCAAACUGAUUUUCAGCAGAGGAGGAGUGCAACACUUCCUGUUGCGACGUACCCUGUAUCCUGUUUUCCACAGUCAGUGGUCAUGCGUGUCAUUCCCCCCUCUGCAGCAGCACUACUCUGGUGGGAAGAAACCRCAGGCAGCGAUGAAUACCGCAGCGGGACGGGAGGGGUUUCCCAGGAGCUCGGCACAGUGUGUGUCAAGGGGCUAUGAAAAGUGUGUGCGAAAAUGAACGCCGAACAACCAUGUAAUUGUGCGUCGUCUGCCGAUCGGCCAUACUGAGCCCUAAACUGUUUGAUUGACAACCAAGGGGAAGGGACAUAGAUUGGUUUGAAUAAAAUGAAAGUUUGUGACAACUUAAAAUUUGCUUCUCCUAAUUUUUGAAAAGCACUGAAGAGCUUCUUUAAAGAGCUCACGAGCAACUGGUUGGAGACCCCUGCACUAGAAGUAUAGUUGGAGGUUAAUGACAGCUACUUCUACAUCAAACUGUAGCUAAAUAUCUCUAAAAAACUGAGUUAAAGACAUUUUUGAGUUAGCUGUAGCAGCCAUUUUUGGACUAUGUACAAAAACCUUUAAAAACWGUUGGAAACAAAUAUACAGCUGAACGUUACUGUCAAACUGUUUUAAAUAAUAACAUUUAAAGCAUCUCAUGUUAAAUCCUUAAGGGUUUUCUA